GCAAGUCGAGCGAGAAGCUCACGAUUGAUACUUCGGUUGAUUUUGUGAGUGGAAAGCGGCGGACGGGUGAGUAACGCGUAGGCAACCUGCCCCUGACAGAGGGAUAGCCUCGGGAAACCGGGAUUAAAACCUCAUAAUGCCAACAUACUGCCUGGUAAGUUGGCCAAAGAUUUAUCGGUCAGGGAUGGGCCUGCGUCUGAUUAGUUAGUUGGUGGGGUAACGGCCUACCAAGACGACGAUCAGUAGCCGACCUGAGAGGGUGAUCGGCCACAUUGGAACUGAGACACGGUCCAAACUCCUACGGGAGGCAGCAGUAGGGAAUCUUGCACAAUGGGCGAAAGCCUGAUGCAGCAACGCCGCGUGAGCGAUGAAGGCCCUUGGGUCGUAAAGCUCUGUCCUUGGGGAAGAAAAAAAUGACGGUACCCUUGGAGGAAGCCCCGGCUAACUACGUGCCAGCAGCCGCGGUAAUACGUAGGGGGCAAGCGUUAUCCGGAAUCAUUGGGCGUAAAGCGUGCGUAGGUGGUUUCUUAAGCGCGGGGUUUAAGGCUACGGCUCAACCGUAGUUCGCCCCGUGAACUGGGAGACUUGAGUGCAGGAGGGGAAAGUGGAAUUCCUAGUGUAGCGGUGAAAUGCGUAGAUAUUAGGAGGAACACCAGUGGCGAAGGCGACUUUCUGGACUGUUACUGACACUGAGGCACGAAAGCGUGGGGAGCAAACAGGAUUAGAUACCCUGGUAGUCCACGCCGUAGACGAUGAGCACUAGGUGUCGGGGUCGCAAGACUUCGGUGCCGAAGUUAACGCAUUAAGUGCUCCGCCUGGGGAGUACGUUCGCAAGAAUAAAACUCAAAGGAAUUGACGGGGACCCGCACAAGCAGCGGAGCAUGUGGUUUAAUUCGAAGCAACGCGAAGAACCUUACCAGGGCUUGACAUCCUCUCGACAGGUCUUUAACAGGACCCUUCUUCGGACGAGAGUGACAGGUGGUGCAUGGUUGUCGUCAGCUCGUGUCGUGAGAUGUUGGGUUAAGUCCCGCAACGAGCGCAACCCUUGUCAUUAGUUGCCAUCAUUCAGUUGGGCACUCUAGUGAGACUGCCGGGGACAACUCGGAGGAAGGUGGGGAUGACGUCAAAUCAUCAUGCCCCUUAUGUUCUGGGCUACACACGUGCUACAAUGGUCGGUACAACGAGACGCAAGACCGCGAGGUGGAGCAAAUCUUCAAAACCGGCCCCAGUUCGGAUUGCAGGCUGAAACCCGCCUGCAUGAAGUCGGAGUUGCUAGUAAUCGCGGAUCAGCAUGCCGCGGUGAAUACGUUCCCGGGUCUUGUACACACCGCCCGUCACACCAUGGAAGUUGGGGGCGCCCGAAGUUGGUCAAUUAAUAG
rnacentral:rRNA from 1 species